rnacentral:tRNA from 1 species
CGGGGCGUAGCGCAGAGGGUAGCGCACCUGACUGGGGGUCAGGGGGUCGUCUGUUCAAAUCAGAUCGCUCCGA